rnacentral:rRNA from 1 species
AUUGAACGCUGGCGGCAUGCUUUACACAUGCAAGUCGAACGGUAACAGGCCGCAAGGUGCUGACGAGUGGCGAACGGGUGAGUAAUGCAUCGGAACGUGCCCAGUCGUGGGGGAUAACUGCUCGAAAGAGCAGCUAAUACCGCAUACGAUCUAUGGAUGAAAGCGGGGGACCGUAAGGCCUCGCGCGAUUGGAGCGGCCGAUGUCAGAUUAGGUAGUUGGUGGGGUAAAGGCUCACCAAGCCGACGAUCUGUAGCUGGUCUGAGAGGACGACCGGCCACACGGGGACUGAGGCACGGCCCAGACUCCUACGGGAGGCAGCAGUGGGGAAUUUUGGACAAUGGGCGCAAGCCUGAUCCAGCAAUGCCGCGUGCAGGAUGAAGGCCUUCGGGUUGUAAACUGCUUUUGUACGGAACGAAAAGACUCUGGUUAAUACCUGGGGUCCAUGACGGUACCGUAAGGAUAAGCACCGGCUAACUACGUGCCAGCCGCCGCCGUAACAC